GUAGGGAAAAUGGACCAAUCAGGGGGCAGUAUGCACGUAGGGGAAUUCCAGCAGGCUCGCGUAGUCAGUGGGGAGUAAGAGUUUAAUGCGAACUGCGAGGAGUUCUGGUUGCCGCAUUAUUGUGCCUGUUUCUAGUUGACAGUUGACAGUUGAAGCCUACUUGACAGUUGAAUGUGUGCGUGACAACUAAAAAACCACACAACUAAGUAUGUCAUCGAAUCUUCAAUAAAGAAGACCAUUGGAAA